rnacentral:rRNA from 1 species
ACGGGUGAGGAACACGUAGGAACUUGCCUUCUAGAGGGGGACAACCAAGGGAAACUUUGGCUAAUACCGCGUAAUCUCGCAAGAGGAAAGCUGCCCGCAAGGGUGGCGCUAGAAGAGAGGCCUGCGUCCGAUUAGCUAGUUGGUGAGGUAAAGGCUCACCAAGGCGAUGAUCGGUAACUGGUCUGAGAGGACGACCAGUCACACUGGGACUGAGACACGGCCCAGACUCCUACGGGAGGCAGCAGUGGGGAAUAUUGGACAAUGGGGGCAACCCUGAUCCAGCGAUGCCGCGUGGGUGAAGAAGGCCUUCGGGUUGUAAAGCCCUUUAGGCCGGGACGAAGUGUAAGAGUUUAAGAGAUACUUACAUUGACGGUACCGGCAGAAUAAGCACCGGCAAACUCUGUGCCAGCAGCCGCGGUAAUACAGAGGGUGCGAGCGUUAAUCGGAGUUACUGGGCGUAAAGGGCGCGUAGGCGGUUAUGUGAGUGUGAUGUGAAAGCCCUGGGCUUAACCUAGGAAGUGCAUCGCAAACGACAUAACUGGAGUAGAUGAGAGGGUGGUGGAAUUUCCGGUGUAGCG